UACGGAGGGUGCAAGCGUUAUCCGGAUUCACUGGGCUUAAAGGGCGCGUAGGCGGUCCCAUAAGUCCCGCGUGAAAUCCCCCGGCUCAACCGGGGAACUGCGUGGGAAACUGCGGGGCUUGAGUUCGGGAGAGGGAAGCGGAAUUCCGGGUGUAGCGGUGAAAUGCGUAGAUAUCCGGAGGAACACCGGUGGCGAAGGCGGCUUCCUGGACCGACACUGACGCUGAGGCGCGAAAGCUAGGGGAGCAAACGGG
rnacentral:rRNA from 1 species